AUACUCACCUGGCAGGGAAGAUACCAUGAUCACGAAGUUGGUUUCCCCAGAGCCAGGCUUAUCCAUUGCACCCUGGAUGUGCUGAUCCCUGCAAUUUCCCCAAACCUGGGAAACUCAACUGCAUAAUUUGUGGUAGCGGGGCACUGC
rnacentral:snRNA from 1 species